rnacentral:rRNA from 1 species
AUGGGUGGCCUGGGGCUCCUCCUCCCCGCCGACCGCGAACACGACCCGGAGCUGGAGCCGUGCUCUCCCCCCAAGGGCGUCCUACGGCUGCGCGGCGCCGUGCAGCACUACGAGUGGGGCAGCCGCGGGGACGCCUCCCUCGUCGCGCGCCUCGCCGGCGAGACAGAGGAGGGCCGCCCCUGCGCCGAGCUCUGGAUGGGCACCCACCCGGCUGCCCCGUCGUCGCUAGCAUCCGACGACGGCGGCGCGGUCUCGCUCAGGGAGUGGCUGGCGCGCAACCCCGCUGCGCUCCUCGGCCGCGUCGUCACCGCGCGCUGGGACGGCGACCUCCCCUUCCUAUUCAAGGUGCUGUCGGUGGCGAAGCCGCUCUCCAUCCAGGCGCAUCCGGACAGGGAGCUCGCCAGGGCGCUCCACGCGCUGCGCCCUACCACGUACCGCGACGCCAACCACAAGCCUGAAAUGGCCGUUGCCGUCACCGAGUUCCGCGCCCUCUGCGGCUUCGUCAGCGUCCAGGAGCUCAAGGAUGUUUUGAGGACUGUACCUGAGGUUCGAAUGUUAGUUGGCAAAGAAGAUGUUGUGAAGCUUAUGACUGCCAAAGAGCACGAUGGAGGUAUUGGAGUAAGGUCAUAUCUGCAAUCAGCUUUUACUAAGCUAAUGGCAACAAGCAAAGAAGCAGUUGCUGAAGCAAUUUCCAAAUUAAGGAGUCGCUUGAAUGGGGAGAUAAAGAUUAGAACCUUUACAGAGAAGGAGCAACUAGUUUUAUCACUAGAGCAGCAGUACCCAGGAGAUGUUGGCGUUUUAUCAGCAUUUUUCUUUAACUAUGUUAAGCUCAGACCUGGUGAAGCACUUUACAUUGGUGCCAACGAACCACAUGCAUAUCUAUCAGGAGAGUGUGUUGAAUGUAUGGCUACCUCAGACAAUGUAAUUCGUGCUGGUCUGACUCCUAAGUACAAAGAUGUCCAAACUCUUUGCUCCAUGCUGACAUACAAGCAGAUGUUCCCCGAAAUUUUGCAAGGUGUUCUGGUUCAGCCAUAUGUAAUUCGUUAUACACCCCCAUUCGAUGAGUUUGAAGUUGAUCGCUACUUACUACCUCAAGGUGAAUCGGUUACCAUGUUACCAGUGCCUGGCCCAUCCAUCUUCCUCGUCAUGACUGGGGAGGGCGAGAUCCAGGCUGAUGGCAUGCCUGACGAAGGAGUAGCAAAAGAAGGGGAUGUUUUCUUUGUGCCGGCACGCACGGAGGUGAAGCUUCACGCUUCUGGCCCUGGGUGCUUGCAGCUGUACAGAGCCGGAGUAAACAGCAGAUUCUUCUGUUGA